rnacentral:pre_miRNA from 1 species
UUGAAGAAUUUAAAGACCUCAACUUGCAUACUUGAAGAAUUUGAAGACGUCAACUUGCAGACUUGAAGAAUUUGAAGACUUCAACU